AGAAUAUCACAGAUACAUUCACUGCAUGGAGUAUUGCAUGUACAUGAGCCGAUGCAGUCACAGAGACACUUGCAAGAUAUGGCACAGUUGUCACAGCACUUAUGCAAAGGUUGAAUUUGUUGAGGGUUCUGGUCAAAUGACUUCAGUAGCUCAACUCGUCGACAUACGUUGGUUCUGACAUACUGUUUCAUUUCAUCCGAAAUAUUCCGCCUGCCACUGACACACUGUCUACAUUUCAUGAGAAGAGCAUGUGCCUGCUUUUCUGGAUCCCUGCCUGCUCGUCCUGUCUCUUGAAUAUAAUCGUCAACAUUGUUGGCUGGACCAUAGUGGAUGACGGUUUCCACACUUUGUAAGUCAAGUCCCAUGCUGAAUGAUGUUGAGCAAAGGACUA